UUUUAAAUGGUGCAAUUUUUAUUGUACUUUAUAUAAGUUUAGUCGUCUUUAGCUUGAACUGUUACUCCAUUGCUUCAGAUUAGUAGUGGUGCUCAAAACAAAGCAGUUUGUUUACUGCUGUUUUCUGCUCCUCCAUCAUGUUUCAGUUAUCAUGUGUUGUUGACAGCUCUUCAGUACCGACUGAAUUGGACAGACAGGCCUCAUCAAAGUGUUUCCUCUACGAGCCGCUGAUGUGUGUGAGCAGAUGUGUGUGUGACGCCGCUGUUAUGCUGAAGGUCAACGGAAAUCUCAAACACAUCUGGAAAAGUACAAUCAUCUGAACUGACAAACAGAUUUAUUCCCUCGCCUCAAGAAAUCUCAUCUGGUCCAAUGCAGACCUCAAAAAAAGUAAGUUAUACUGCGUUUUCCUUGCCUUGGCUUCCUUGUUUUGAACCUUUGCUUUGUUCUGUUUGAUCAUUCCAGUAUGCCGCUUGCCUUCUGACCAUUUGCCUGCUGUUUUGACUACAACUAUGGAUUGCCCUCAUGCAUCUGUUUGCUCCUGUGUUGAUCAUUGCUGGCCUGACCUCGCUAAUAAACUUGCAUGUGGAUC